UACGUAGGGUGCAGGCGUUAAUCGGAAUUACUGGGCGUAAAGCGUGCGCAGGCGGUUUCUUAAGUCAGAUGUGAAAGCCCCGGGCUUAACCUGGGAACUGCGUCUGGGACUGAGUGGCUAGAGUUCGGGAGAGGAGAGUGGAAUUCCCAGUGUAGAGGUGAAAUUCGUAGAUAUUGGGAAGAACACCGGCGGCGAAGGCGGCUCUCUGGACCGAGACUGACGCUGAGGCGCGAAAGCGUGGGGAGCAAACAGG
rnacentral:rRNA from 1 species